rnacentral:rRNA from 1 species
CUGGCGGCGUGCUUAAUACAUGCAAGUCAACUUGACUUAGAUAGCAAUAUCGAAAGUAGGGUGGCGCACGGGUGCGUAACGCGUAGGUAAUCUGCCCUGAGGUCUGACAUAACCCGUCGAAAGGCGGGCUAACAUCAGAUGAUAUAUAAUCACGACAUCGUGGAAAUAUCAAAUCUUCGGAGCCUUGGGAUGAGCCUGCGUCUGAUUAGGUAGUUGGCGGAGUAAUAGCCCACCAAGCCUACGAUCAGUAGCUGGUCUGAGAGGAUGAUCAGCCACACUGGAACUGAGACACGGUCCAGACUCCUACGGGAGGCAGCAGUAAGGAAUAUUGCUCAAUGGGGGAAACCCUGAAGCAGCAACGCCGCGUGAAGGAUGAAAUACUUUGUAUGUAAACUUCUGUAAGAUGGGAAAAAUAUUCUCCUCGGGAGAAUUGAUUGUACCAUCAGAGUAAGCCCCGGCUAACUACGUG